CGAGGUCCAACCGGUGGCAACACCGGGGAAGACCUAGUGGCGAACGGGUGAGUAACACGUGAGGAACCUACCUCGAAGACCGGGAUAACCCCUCGAAAGGGGGGGCUAAUACCGGAUGCCCUCUUCAGGUCGCCUGGCCCGGAGAGGAAAGGUCCGCUGCUUCGGGAUGGUCUCGCGGCCUAUCAGCUUGUUGGUGAGGUAAUGGCUCACCAAGGCUACGACGGGUAGCUGGUCUGAGAGGAUGAUCAGCCACACUGGGACUGAGACACGGCCCAGACUCCUACGGGAGGCAGCAGUUAGGAAUCUUGCGCAAUGGGCGAAAGCCUGACGCAGCAACGCCGCGUGCGGGAUGACGGCCUUCGGGUUGUAAACCGCUUUCAGUAGGGACGAAACCAGACGGUACCUACAGAAGAAGCCCCGGCCAACUACGUGCCAGCAGCCGCGGUAAUACGUAGGGGGCGAGCGUUGUCCGGAAUCAUUGGGCGUAAAGAGCUCGUAGGCGGCUCAGUAAGUCGGGUGUGAAAUUCUCAGGCUCAACCUGGGGACGCCACUCGAUACUGCUGUGGCUAGAGUCCAGUAGAGGAGUGUGGAAUUCCCGGUGUAGCGGUGAAAUGCGCAGA
rnacentral:rRNA from 1 species